UGGCGAACGGGUGAGUAACAUAUCGGAACGUACCGGGUANCGGGGGACAACUGAUCGAAAGAUCAGCUAAUACCGCAUACGUCUUGAGAGGGAAAGCAGGGGACCUUCGGGCCUUGCGCUAUCCAGCGGCCGAUAUCUGAUUAGCUGGUUGGCGGGGUAAAGGCCCACCAAGGCGACGAUCAGUAGCGGGUCUGAGAGGAUGAUCCGCCACACUGGGACUGAGACACGGCCCAGACUCCUACGGGAGGCAGCAGU
rnacentral:rRNA from 1 species